CAGUCGCCGCGGUAACACGAAGGGUGCAAGCGUUAAUCGGAAUUACUGGGCGUAAAGCGUGCGUAGGCGGUUUGUUAAGUCUGUUGUGAAAUCCCCGGGCUCAACCUGGGAAUGGCAAUGGAUACUGGCAAGCUAGAGUGUGUCAGAGGAUGGUGGAAUUCCCGGUGUAGCGGUGAAAUGCGUAGAGAUCGGGAGGAACAUCAGUGGCGAAGGCGGCCAUCUGGGACAACACUGACGCUGAGGCACGAAAGCGUGGGGAGCAAACAGGAUUAGAUACCCCCGUAGUCCCUGUCUCUUAUAC
rnacentral:rRNA from 1 species